UAAACCUCGUACCUUUUGCAUCAUGAUUUAGCCAGCACCCUCAAGCAAAGAGCACUUUAGUUUGACCACCCGAAAUUAGGUGAGCUACUCCAAGACAGCCUAUCCAUAAGGGCAAACCCGUCUCUGUGGCAAAAGAGUGGGACGAGCUUCGAGUAGAGGUGACAGACCUACCGAACCUAAUUAUAGCUGGUUGCCUGGGAACUGGAUAGAAGUUCAGCCCUACGGCUUCUCCUUAAACCGUACGAGUUAGCCAAAGGAGGUACAGCCCCUUUGAACCAAGAAACAACUUUACCAGGAGGGUAUCAAUCAUAUUAUUUAAGGCAAAAUGCCAAGGUGGGCCUAAAAGCAGCCAUCCUUAUAGAAAGCGUUACAGCUCAAGCAUUAUACCGAUAACCCAAUUCCAACCCCCUAACCUUACCAGGCCAUCCUAUGCACACAUAGGAGUGACCAUGCUAAUAUGAGUAAUAAGAGGAGCCCCUCUCCCUGCACACGUGUACAUCGGAACGGACCAACCACCGAACAUUAAACGACCUCAAACAAAGAGAGCACUGAAAAACAACUAGAAAAUCAUCCAUCGUUAACCCCACACAGGUGUGCACCCAAGGAAAGACUAAAAGAAAGAGAAGGAACUCGGCAAACAAACCCCGCCUGUUUACCAAAAACAUCGCCUCUUGCAAGAAUAAGAGGUCCCGCCUGCCCAGUGACUGAUUCAGUUUAACGGCCGCGGUAUUCUGACCGUGCAAAGGUAGCGUAAUCACUUGUCUUUUAAAUGGAGACCUGUAUGAAUGGCACAACGAGGGCUUAGCUGUCUCCUCUUUCAAGUCAAUGAAAUUGAUCUCCCCGUGCAGAAGCGGGGAUAACAACAUAAGACGAGAAGACCCUAUGGAGCUUUAGACACCCAGGACAGCCCAUGUUUAAACAACCCUAAAUAAAUGGAUUAAACCAAAUGAGACCUGCCCUCUGUCUUCGGUUGGGGCGACCAUGGGGAAACAAAAAACCCCCACGUGGACUGGGGACAUCCCCACAAACAAGAGCUACAACUCUAACAAACAGAACUUCUGACCAAAAAUGAUCCGGCAACGCCGAUCAACGGACCAAGUUACCCUAGGGAUAACAGCGCAAUCCCCUUUUAGAGCCCAUAUCGACAAGGGGGUUUACGACCUCGAUGUUGGAUCAGGAC
rnacentral:rRNA from 1 species